GGACUACCGGGGUAUCUAAUCCUGUUUGCUCCCCACGCUUUCGCGCCUCAGCGUCAGUCUCGGUCCAGAGAGCCGCCUUCGCCACCGGUGUUCUUCCCAAUAUCUACGAAUUUCACCUCUACACUGGGAAUUCCACUCUCCUCUCCCGAACUCAAGCACGCCAGUCUCGAGCGCCAUUCCCAGGUUGAGCCCGGGGCUUUCACACUCGACUUGACUUGCCGCCUACGCGCCCUUUACGCCCAGUAAAUCCGAACAACGCUCGCCCCCUUCGUAUUACCGCGGCGGCUGGCAC
rnacentral:rRNA from 1 species